rnacentral:rRNA from 1 species
GAGUUUGAUCCUGGCUCAGANUNAACGCUGGCGGCAGGCCUAACACAUGCAAGUCGAGCGGAAACGAGUUAACUGAACCUUCGGGGAACGUUAACGGCGUCGAGCGGCGGACGGGUGAGUAAUGCCUGGGAAAUUGCCCUGAUGUGGGGGAUAACCAUUGGAAACGAUGGCUAAUACCGCAUAAUAGCUUCGGCUCAAAGAGGGGGACCUUCGGGCCUCUCGCGUCAGGAUAUGCCCAGGUGGGAUUAGCUAGUUGGUGAGGUAAUGGCUCACCAAGGCGACGAUCCCUAGCUGGUCUGAGAGGAUGAUCAGCCACACUGGAACUGAGACACGGUCCAGACUCCUACGGGAGGCAGCAGUGGGGAAUAUUGCACAAUGGGCGCAAGCCUGAUGCAGCCAUGCCGCGUGUAUGAAGAAGGCCUUCGGGUUGUAAAGUACUUUCAGCAGUGAGGAAGGUGGGUAUGUUAAUAGCAUACUCAUUUGACGUUAGCUGCAGAAGAAGCACCGGCUAACUCCGUGCCAGCAGCCGCGGUAAUACGGAGGGUGCGAGCGUUUNAUCGGAAUUACUGGGCGUAAAGCGCAUGCAGGUGGUUUGUUAAGUCAGAUGUGAAAGCCCGGGGCUCAACCUCGGAAUUGCAUUUGAAACUGGCAAACUAGAGUACUGUAGAGGGGGGGUAGAAUUUUCAGGUGUAGCGGUGAAAUGCGUAGAGAUCUGAAGGAAUACCGGNUGGNCGNAGGCGGCCCCNCUGGUAUAGAUACUGACACUCAGAUNCCAAAGNA